rnacentral:rRNA from 1 species
AUUGAACGCUGGCGGCAGGCUUAACACAUGCAAGUCGAGCGGGGGAAGGUAGCUUGCUACCGGACCUAGCGGCGGACGGGUGAGUAAUGCUUAGGAAUCUGCCUAUUAGUGGGGGACAACAUCUCGAAAGGGAUGCUAAUACCGCAUACGUCCUACGGGAGAAAGCAGGGGAUCUUCGGACCUUGCGCUAAUAGAUGAGCCUAAGUCGGAUUAGCUAGUUGGUGGGGUAAAGGCCUACCAAGGCGACGAUCUGUAGCGGGUCUGAGAGGAUGAUCCGCCACACUGAGACUGAGACACGGCCCAGACUCCUACGGGAGGCAGCAGUGGGGAAUAUUGGACAAUGGGGGGAACCCUGAUCCAGCCACGCCGCGUGUGUGAAGAAGGCCUUAUGGUUGUAAAGCACUUUAAGCGAGGAGGAGGCUACUCUAGUUAAUACCUAGGGAUAGUGGACGUUACUCGCAGAAUAAGCACCGGCUAACUCUGUGCCAGCAGCCGCAGUAA